CAGUCGCCGCGGUAAUACGUAGGGCGCGAGCGUUGUCCGGAAUUAUUGGGCGUAAAGAGCUUGUAGGCGGUUGGUCGCGUCUGCUGUGAAAGGCUGGGGCUUAACCCUGGUUUUGCAGUGGGUACGGGCUAACUAGAGUGCAGUAGGGGAGACUGGAAUUCCUGGUGUAGCGGUGGAAUGCACAGAUAUCAGGAGGAACACCGAUGGCGAAGGCAGGUCUCUGGGCUGUAACUGACGCUGAGAAGCGAAAGCAUGGGGAGCGAACAGGAUUAGAUACCCGCGUAGUCCCUGUCUCUUAUAC
rnacentral:rRNA from 1 species